rnacentral:rRNA from 1 species
UUCUUAUGAAAUUUUCAUAAGUAAAAUCUGCUCAAUGAUAACAAAUAGCCGCAGAUUAUCUGUGCUAAGGUAGCACAAUCACUUGUUCCUUAAUUAGGAAAUAGAAUGAAAGAUUAAACAUUUAAUUAACUAUACUCCUUACUAAUUAUAAACUAUGCUAAGAAAUUAAAACAUUCUUAUUAAAAAGUAAGACGACAAGACCCUAUUGAACUUUACAUAUUGUUUAGCUGGGGCAGCUUAUGUAAAUCAUUAUUUUUAUAAAAAUUUAUAAAUAAAUAACCAGACCACUGAUUAAUCAAGUUACCUUAGGGAUAACAGCGUAAUAAUCUAUAACAGCUCAUAUUAAAUAGAGUGAUUACGACCUCGAUGUUGAAUUACUAAACUUUAAUACGCAACUGUAUUAAUAAGUA